CAACGCCGCGUGAGUGAUGAAGACCCUAGGGUUGUAAAGCUCUGUCGGAGGGGAAGAAAAAUUGACGGUACCCUCCAAGAAAGCCCCGGCUAACUACGUGC
rnacentral:rRNA from 1 species